rnacentral:lncRNA from 1 species
GGCUCGUGUCAGUGGAAGCUGGGGUGUCGGCGGGCGGCCGCGGCCGGGUCUAGCGGUGCCUGCGGAAGAAGGAGGAGGAGGGCUGGCGAUGAGAAGCAGCAGGGGGAAUCAAGGGCAAGAAGGGACCCAGAGGGGCAGGUGGCUGAGAUGCUGGCGUCCAGGUGACCCGAGGAAUCCUCUGGAGAUACAGGCCCGCGCAUGCGCGUGCUCGAGCGCUGAAGCCCAUUGCCCGCAGGGCGCUGGACUGGCGCCCCGGCCGGCGAGGCUGUCUAGUCCAGGCUCCAGGCCCCGGCUCUGGCCAGGCGCCGCCGCCUCCCGGUGCAGCUGAAAGUCGACGAAGAGGGCGGGGCGGGGGCGGCUUGUGGACUUCCACACUUUUCCUCUCUUCGGGCCAGUCUGGGGAGAGGGUGGCUAGCUGUGGCGGCGGCCAAUUACGUGGCGGACCUGCGGGGCUAAGCUGGCACGUCACUUCCGACUAGUGGAGUUUUUAGCCUUUUAACAUUCAAGGAUUAGGUAAAAGUCUUGCAGUGAAAAACCCGAGGACCCUUACCGCAAGUGUCUUUUGCUCCCAGCUACUGAUACUGGAUUCCACUCGUGAUUCUCCCUUUCUUAGCGCAUUCAUGAUAUAGACAUCAGUCUCUGAGCUGGAGGAGGACAAAGGCAGCGGUCCUGUGAAUUCUAUGCUCUAGCUUGGGUUAAGGGAUUUGGAAUUGCACUUGUUUCAGAGAGCUCCCUCUUUGCCCACUAGCAGGGCAUUAGCUGGUGCUGAAGACAGUGGCUGCUUGGCGAGCCUGGAUCUCCAAGUGACCCCCUCAGCAACUCCUGAUGAACAGGACUGAAGCCAAUAUUAAAGCAAGUCAACCAAAGGUUCUCUGGUGUAGACAAGACAGCAAAAGGACAGACUACCUUGUGGAACCUAGCAUUGUUCUCCUUCUGCAGCACUAAGUAACAUUUGUUCUCCGUUAAGAUCUUUGCAAACCACACACAAGAAUUGCUGGUCAUCCUGCCAAUAGAUGCUGCUCACAGAACCAAAUUUCCUGUGCUGAAUUGUCACUCAUGGGCUUGAGAGUAGGAGACUGGAGACCAAGGUGGCUAGAAUCCAGUUGGGCCUGAUGUCUCCCUGUUGAAAGGGCUCCUUGUGGAAUGAAUAGCACAUGGCUCCUGUGGUGGAUCUGAUAGUGGCAUAGCACCAAGUGAUGCAGGCCUGCCAGGGGCCACAGACACAGAAGAUGCUCCCGGGGUCCCCCAUGUACUCCAGACACACUGCAGGCCACCUCUCCCAGCAGGUUGCCAGUCAUGGGCCCCAUCAUCAUGACUUCUGUCCAAGGUACUGUGUGCAGAAAUGUGAUUGAGAUUCAAGUCAGGGCCUCUCUGCCCUUUUCCCUCCAGAAACAAAACCAAGAUAAUUUAUCCUGAACACGGUGAAAAAAGGAAGGGAGGGAGGAGAAAAAGUCCGGGUCUCACCUGGGAUUCUCUGUCUCCUGCAACAUGAAGGAUUUAGCCUGGGAGGAGGUGGUGAGAACUCUGGGAGAGAAAAAAGAAGGAAAGAAUAGUUUUACCCAUGCUGAAGUUAAUUUAAACCUUCACCUAGAGAAGCAAAAAAAAAAAACCCACACUUUCCCAUUUUGUGCCUCCCUUCCUAGAGUUUUAGCCAAAGGUUUAGCUAAGUAAUUGGUUUUACCAGCGCACUCACUCCUCCUAUCCCAAGUCUGUUUGACUCCCUCCCCAUCAUCCUCCUCACCUCUUUUCAGGCAGGGUGGGGAUAGCAGCAGGAGGAGAUUUUGGGAGCCUGGCAACUCCUGCAAGGACCGCAGGACAGCCCCUCUGUGGGGAUGCGUGGUGCCCCAUCUGCCGCCCUUCUGAAGAAUGCACUGCCUUCACUUUUUACUGUGUUAGAGUCCAUCCAGACUGUUCUAUCCAAAAAAGUUUCUUUUUCCCCCACAGGCAAUCAGGAAAUGAUUCCUUUCCCGACUGCUUCUGUCUAGUGCCUGGGAAUCUUGAGUCAAUCCCUCAGUAAGUCAGUGACUAGGGAAAUCCCUCUCUGAGCCUCCCAGUUCAUGUUGCUUAGGGAACCUGAUAUUUUCGUGAAACCUGCCUACACAUGGGCAGCCCAACAGCAGAACAAAUGGUGGUGACCAAAGUGAACAAAGAAGUAUAGUUGUGCCAGCUUCGUAGUUGCCCAUGUGGACAAGUCAGCAGGAUCAGGACACGAGGAAGAGUAAAUGUGAGACAGUCAAUGUGACUUCUGCGAUAAACAGAUUUUUAAACCCCGAAAUUUUGCAAAAUUUUGGUGAAACCUGAACUUUCUUCGUUGCAUAUACUGGCACUAUCUGUACCAUCAUACAACUGUCUCACAUUAAAGCUAUUUUUCUUGGGCACUGAUGAGUAAGGUUGGUAUAAGUUCCUCAGAUCAACAAAAACCCAUUUUCCUGUAAGUCUUACAUUUAGUAUUUAAGGAACUAAAACUUAAAUACAUUUUGUGAAAUGGUUGACACUUCACUGAUAAUGAUUUAUUGCUUGGAUUAAUAAAUUUUCCAAAAGUUGUCUUAUGUAGAAUAUGGUUUGCAACCAGCAGAACCAUUAAUCUAUACUGCAAUGAUAUGCACUAUGUAUAAUUGUUUAAAAGCCUCUACUUAAUGAUGUAAAAUGCUCUAUUUAAUUACACAUUUGGGUAAACUGUAUACUAACAUCUGAUGGCAUUUUUCCACUGUUUGUUGCUUUUUUCAAAUACUUUAUUGUACAAAGCUGUUCUUAAUAUUUUUCAAGUUUUUUUCUUUGAAUUUUGCUAAUGUUUUCCUUGAAUUAUGAGCACUGACAGAAUGUGCUUAGCACUUUUGGCUAUUCACACAGCUUUUGAGCAUGAUUUGCAUCCAAUAUUUACAUUGCUAGCAAUAAUAAGCCAUCUGUGAGUUUUGUCAAAAGUUAUUGGGGAUUUUUUAAAUUUUAGAAAUGCAAAUUAUUGUUUCUUUGAACUAACUCUUAUGCAGUUGCAAAGGCAUUUCCAGUUGUUAUAGUUUGUGUACAAUAUCAGGUGUUCCAGAUUAUGAUUCAUUAUUAAUAUCAUUGCUUCCUUGUUCCCUCUGAGGUCCAGAAGAUUCAUGUUUACAAUAUUUAGAAACAAUGUUAAAAAGGUAUCCAAAGUUUGUCACUUUAUUAUUAGUUUGUUCUUAAUAUUCUGUUUAAGUUUUUGAAUUCAUAGAUAUCAAAACGCUGCACAAUUAUGAUUUCCACAGGAAUAACAACACACUAACAAUAAGAACCAAAAACAGCAAAUAGGCUGCCUACAAGUUUUGACAAUAUUAGGAUAAUGAUAAUGACAGUUUUUCUAAAUCUCACAGUAAAGAAUGCAGCAACCCAGCAACACUGCUACCUGUGGCCUCAGGCUGCAGUGUCAGCUCUUCCCUGGGUCUCCAGCCUGCCAGUCUAACCUGAAAAUUAUGUACUUGCCAGCCCCCACAGUCACGUGAGUGAACUGGCCCAGGCUGGUCACCAGGGUCAGUUUCUCUGUGUGUCAUUAAUUCAUUCAGUCUUCAGCAGUCUCUUUGGAGCUGAGAUGUACCUACCAUCUGCCUUUUGGGUGCUUAGGGUGGAGAACCAGAAAAGUAUAACCUAGUGUGUAUCCUCAAAGAGCUAACAAUAUGGGGUGGUACCUAUAGGUCUGGAAACACUUUACUGACUCUGUGAGGCAUACCAGGAGACGUCAGAGAACAGUCCCUCCUCAAAUGCCAAAUGAGAUGCAGAAGAAAUAGUUUGCUCAAGUUCAUGGGCCAGAUAUCCCAGUGGUCAGGGAGUUUCAUGAAUGAGAUGGAACUUUGCAUGGAACCCGAGGGAUGUGUAUGAUUUGAGUAGAUGAAGAAAAUGAGACUUUCCAAGCAGCUAGAAGUUAGGGAGCAGCAAGAUGUGUGGUGGGAUUGAGCACAGUUGGUUCAGAGGAUAGACUGCAGUUUUAAUAAUUUGUAGUAAAUAUCUCCCAACUGUUUGGCACUAUUGGAGCAAGUUCUUGAAUGCCAAAUGAAGGCAUAAAUCAGUAAGAGGCAUAAUAAAAGGCUGAGCAGUGCUUGGCUUUUUACGAACUGAUCCUGAUAGGAGCAGCUGUUCAACAAAGUUGCCAGGUCACCGUUACAUAGUCCCUGCCUUCUAGGGGCUCACUGCCUACUGGGAGAGACAGUCUGAAAGUUGGUGGAGCAUGUAACUGUUGGAUGAGGAGUUUGAGCCUGUGGACUGUGGGACCCCCGAGGAGGGUGUGGCUACUCUAGGCAGAACAAUCCCACAGUUUAUUUAUAUUUAACCUUGAAAUUCAUUAGAGGAUUUUUCAGCAGAGGUUUGGUACUUGUUAAUGUUAAGGUUUGCAUUCUCUAGAACCUCAAGGAAAGCUGUACCGUGCAUAAUGUACCCUCUUAUGUUAAUGUUGUGUACUGUGAUCCUGUUUCAGGGACUUGCACUUAGGAAUCUGUUACAGUGAGCACAGAAGCAGACCUGUGGGCUCAUAGUCUUCACCCCCCACCCAUAUAUACAAGAUGAACAGAGUGGAGGUUAAACAACUUGACUAAACAACACAGUUCAUGGUAAAGCCCAAGACUGUACCUGCCCAUCCACUGCCUUUUCCAUGUAUCCUGGAACUGAGCAUAGACCUCUUCCCAGGCAGAGCUGACAGCAAGUAAAGGAGAUCAUAAUCAGGGGACCAAACAACUUUGUCUAAAGUGUGAAUGUCACCUAAGGAGAAGCUGUGAGAUCAGAAGGGUGGGGCAGAGGAGCAGACACCAUGAGGGAGAGUCCUUGGGGGUACAUCUGCCAGACUGACACUGUCUGGCCUGGGCAGUGGAGGGGCUAGCAGGAACCACAGGUACUGGUGGUGUGGCUACUACCGUUACAACUGCCUGUGCUUGGACAUGGACCCUCUGCAAUAUGCGGCAGUUUCAUUCAUUGCCCCCUACAUUCUACACCAAGUAGAAAUGGAAGGCAAUUGGAUACUUCACAGACAAGAUCUAAGUGGAGAAGGAAUGCGUCCUGUGGCUGCAGAGAUCCUUGGAGCUUGGAGGGGAGAGCUUGAGCCCCACUGAUGAUGACCUCCCACAGCUCGCCAACUCAGCCCUCCCUAAGUCCCCAUCGGGGGCCAAUUCUCACUCUGGGGUUGGGGGGACUCCACCAUAGCUCAUCCAUCAUAGGGAUGUUGGUAUCUACUGUGGGUUGGGUAGGGCCGAUGUGCUGAGGAUGGCUCCCCCACAAGCAAGAGAUGUGGAUUUGGGGAGCUUCCCAUCUUGUGUUGAAGGAACAUAACUCAGAAUAAUAAGAGCCAACUAUAACAAACCCACAGCCAACAUCAUACUGAAUGGGCAAAAGCUGCAGGCAUUCCCCUUGAAAAGUGGCACAGGAUAAGGAAGCCCUUUCUCACCACUCCUAUUCAAUAUAGUGUUGAAAGUCCUGAUCACAGCAGUCAGGCAACAGAAAUAAUAAAGGGCAUCCAAAUAGGAAGAGAGGAAGUCAAACUAUCCUUGUUUGCAGACAGUAUGAUUCUAUAUCUAGAAAACCCCAUAGCCUCAGCCCAAAAGGUCCUUCAUCUGAUAAUUUCAGCAAAGUUUCAGGAGACAAAAUCAGUGUACAAAAAUCACUAACAUUCCUAUACACAGUCGCCAAGCCAAGAGCCAAAUCAGGAGCACAAUCCCAUUCAUAAUUGCCACAAAAAAGAAUAAAAUACCCAGGAAUGCAGCUAACCAAGGAAGUAAAGGAUCUCUACAAUGAGAAUCACAAACGCUGCUCAAAGAAAUCAGAGAUGACACAAACAAAUGGAAAAACUUUCCAUGCUCAUGGCUAGGAAGAAUCAAUAUCAUUAAAGUGGCCAUACUACCCAAAGCAAUUUAUAGAUUCAAUGCUAUUCCUAUCAAACUAUCAAUUACAUUUUUCACAGAACUAGAAAAAACUUAAAAUUCAUAUGGAACCAAAAAGCCUGAGUAGUCAAGGCAAUCCUAAACAAAAAGAACAAAGGUGGAGGCAUCACAUUACCUAACUUCAAACUACAGGGCUACCAUGACCAAAACAGCAUGGUACUGGUACAAAAGCAGACACACAGACCAGUGGGACAGAAUAGAGAGCCCAAAAAUAAGGCCACAAACCUACAGCCAUCUGAUCUUCAACAAAGUUGACAAAAACAAGCAAUGGGGAAAGGUCUCCCUAUUCAAUAAAUGGUGCUGGGAUAACUGGCUGGCCAUAUGCAGAAGAUCGUAACUGGACCCCUUUUACUAUGUACAAAAAUUAAGAUGGUUUAAAGAGUUAAAACCCAAAAUUAUAAAAAUCCUGAAGAUAACUUAGGCAAUACCAUUCUGGACAUAGGAACUGGCAAAUAUUUCAUGAUGAAGACACCAAAAGCAAUUGUAACAAAAGCAAAAAUGGACAAAUUGGAUUUAAGAGCUUUUUCAUAGCAAAAUAAACAACAGGGCAGACAAUCUACCAAAUGACAGAAAAUUUUUGCAAACUAUGCAUCUGACAAGGGGCUAAUAUCUAGCAUCUAUAAGGAAUUUAAACACAGUUACAGGAAAAAAAAAACCCACUCCAUUAAAAAAUGGGCAAAGGACAUGAACAGACACUUUUCAAAAAAGACAUACAUACAGCCAACUAGCGUGUUAAAGAAAACCUCAAUUAUCACUGAUCAUUAGAGAAAUGCAAAAUCAAAACCAUGAUGAGAUAUCAUCUGCCAGUCAGGAUGGCUACAAAAAAGUAAAAAAAUAAUAGAUGUUGGUGAGGUUAUGGAGAAAAGGAACUUAUACACUUGUUAGGAGUGUAAAUUAGUUCAAUCACUGUGGACAGCAGUGUGGUGAUUCCUCAGAGAGCUAAAAACAACUACCAUUUGACUCACCAAUCCCAUUACUGGAUAUUUACCUAAAGGAAUAUAAAUCAUUCCACCAUAAAGACACAUGCAAGUGUAUGUUCAUUGCAGCACUAUUAACAGUAACAAAGCUGGGCACAGUGGCUCACCUCACGACUGUAAUCCCAGCACUUUGGGAGGCUGAGGUAGGCGGAUCACCUGAGGUCGGCAGUUUGAGACCAGCCUGACCAACAUGGAGAGACCCCAUCUCUACUAAAAAUACAAAAUUAGCCAGGUGUGGUGGCUCAUGCCUGUAAUCCCAGCUACUUGGGAGGCCAAGGCAGGAGAAUUGCUUGAACCCAGGAGGCAGAGGUUGCAGUGAGCCGAGAUCACACCAUUG